rnacentral:rRNA from 1 species
GGGGGAUAACGUCCCGAAAGGGACGCUAAUACCGCAUGACAUCCUGCCUUUGGAAAGGUGGAGAUCAGAGCUGGGGAUCGCGAGACCUGGCGCUUGAAGAGGGGCCCGCGGCUGAUUAACUAGUUGGUGAGGUAACGGCUCACCAAGGCUCCGAUCAAUAUCCGGCCUGAGAGGGCGGACGGACACUCUGGGACUGAGACACGGCCCAGACUCCUACGGGAGGCAGCAGUGGGGAAUUGUUCGCAAUGGGCGAAAGCCUGACGACGCAACGCCGCCUGGAGGACGAAGAUCUUCGGGUCGUAAACUCCUGUCGAGCGGGAAGAAUACCAUUUGGGUCAAUACCUUGAAUGGCUGACGGUACCGCUAAAGGAAGCCCCGGCUAUCUCCGUGCCAGCAGCCGCGGUAAUACGGGGGGGG